rnacentral:ncRNA from 1 species
AAUAGGAAAUCUAAGGGCGUAUGGAGGAUGCCUAGACUGAAGAAGGCGAAGAAGGGCGUGGCAUGUCUGCGAUAAGCUACGGGGAGGUGACUAGCAACCUUUGAUCCGUAGAUUUCCGAAUGGGGGAACCCAACCGAUUUUGUCGGUUACCUUGAUGCUUGACAUCAGGGAGCAUACCCGGGGAAGUGAAACAUCUCAGUACCCGGAGGAAAAGAAACCAAAAGGAAUUCCCGAAGUAGCGGCGAGCGAAAGGGGAUGAGCCCAAACUCGAUCUCACCUUCACCAUCUGUGCAAACGGGUGAUGGAGGUGGUAUCGGGGGUUGUAAGGCAACAACGUCGUUUUUAAAACGAGAAGAGUCACAAAUUGUAUUGUUAGCGGAAUCUGCUGGGAAGCAGAACCCCAGGGGGUAAUAGUCCCGUACGCGAAAAUAAUACAACUCUUUUGUUGUUGUUCUUGAGUAACUCAAGACACGAAUAGCUUGAGUGAAUCUGCCGGAACUAACCGGUAAGGCUAAAUACUUCUUCAGAUCGAUAGUGAACUAGUACCGUGAGGGAAAGGUGAAAAGUAGUCCGGUGAGGACAGUGAAAUAGACCUGAAACCAUACGCCUACAAGGAGUCGGAGCGGGCAUCACAGUGCGUGUGAUGCCGCAAAUCCCAAAACACAAAAUCCCAAAACACAAACAAAUUUCGUUUGUGCUCUGGUAACUGUGCUUUGUGCUUUGCGGACUAUCGUGCGUAGCGCGAUGUCCGUUACGGCGUGCCUAUUGAAGAAUGAGCCAACGAGUUCAUGUAUAUUGCGCGGCUAAGCCCGU